rnacentral:rRNA from 1 species
UACGUAGAUGGCAAGCGUUGUCCGGAAUUAUUGGGCGUAAAGCGCGCGCAGGCGGUCCUUUAAGUCUGAUGUGAAAGCCCGCGGCUCAACCGUGGAGGGUCAUUGGAAACUGGGGGACUUGAGUGCAGGAGAGAAGAGUGGAAUUCCACGUGUAGCGGUGAAAUGCGUAGAGAUCCGGAGGAACACCAAAGGCGAAGGCAGUGUCCUGGGGAGUACCUGACGCUCAGGUGCGAAAGCCAGGGGAGCGAACGGG